rnacentral:tRNA from 1 species
GGCGGCGUAGCUCAGUUGGUUAGAGCACACGGCUCAUACCCGUGUUGUCAGUGGUUCAAGUCCACUCGCCGCUACCA